CGGGCGCGAGUCUGCAGCCGCGAGGGUGGCGGCCAGGGUUCCCCUAACGGAAACGCGGCUUACCGGCGGCCCUGCGCGUGCACACCGCUGCACACUCGCCCACGUGAGCACUCUGGCGUGCAAACUCGCUAACGCACCAAGGGACAAACUAGCGCGCGCCUCGCUUGUGCACCCCGCUGCUUGUGGCUGCUGGUCAGCACCCUCUCCCCGGGGAAGCUCGGCGUCGUGACACUAGCUCCGCGGCGGCUGGGAAGCAUCAGCGCCAUUCUGGAGGAGACAGCUCAGGAGAGUUUAUGACACCUGAUCAGGACCGGAUACUCUCGCAUUUUUCCUUAGGCUGGAAUACCCCUGACUUCACGGAUAUGACCUCAUGGAGUGCCUGGACUGAGAAGAGACAGUGAAGGCUCCAUUGUCUGAACACCAGCCGCCCCACCUCAUCCAGGACCUUUCCCCAGCUGCCUCUUCCUCUACCCGCUUGUCCACUGAGCUGGAAACCUGGAAGACGCCACCAUUCCCCCAACUCACAAAAAAUCCUAGUGAUUCUCCCCCUCUGAAUGGCUGAGGCAAUCUCCAAGGGAGGGCAUGAACCUGUUCUGUUUUGGUUAGACCUGACCCAGUACCUAGCGAUGCCGGGCAUCCCAGAGGUACCCAAUAAACACUUGUGCAGAA